GCGGCCUGAGCGCGCGCCCGCGUGCCCGUCUGCCGCCCCCGACUCCGCAGUGGACGACCCCAGACCCUGCGAAGGCCUCAGGGCUCCUUAAACCUGUGGGGCUGGCGCGAGCCCCAGAAUCCCGACUUCGACGCCCCGGGCCGCCGCCCUCCCUGCUUGUGGCGCCGGGCGCAGGAGCACGCGGGACGCGGGGCCGGAGCCUGCAGGGCCCGCAGCCUUCAGGGCCCGCCGCACGGGGGCGCCCAGCGCCUCUGAAGGGAAAGGACUGCUGAAGGGGGCGGGGCUCCCGGGACACGGACUCCGGCCGGAGUCGGGAGCGGCCGCUGUGAACGUCCAGUUCCACCCCGAGCGGACCACAGGCACCCAGCUCAGAUCCUCAUCCCUCUUUCUUUGGAGUCCUCUUCUGUAACCUCACACCACUGGGAGGCACCCUGCAAGAUGAGAGGACUUAAAAUCUUACAUGUUACUGCCCGGCACAAAGGGGGCUCUCACAUAUUUCUUCAGGCUCCGCAGAUGACUAACUCCAUCUCCUGUCCAAAAGUGGGGACUAAAGAUGAGCUGAUUCUUGCUAAGUCAGGUCUGAUGUGGAAGUACUUCAGAACAUGGAAAGCAGCAAAACUGAAAAGCCCUGAAGAUUUCUUUACCUCCAGAAGAAUCUCUGCGAACGGAACACACUGGACACGAACAAUAACAUCUUCAGUCCAGUGAGAAAGUGACUCGUGCACUGAGGAGAAACCCUGGUAACGCUCACAAAGGUUCAGGAGAUCCUUCUCCCACCACUCCCACCAAGAAACACUGUCUGAGGGGCGCCUGGGGGGCUCAGUCCAUGAAGCGUCUGCCUUCAGAU